UUCGAAAACCCUAGAUUGAGUUUUAAUUUAUUUUUUAAUUCUAAUUACUUUUAAUGAUUUAAACACAUUCAUAAAUCACUAUCAAUAUUAUUUAUACCUAGCUAGCAUUGUGAAUUCAUAAAUUGAGUCUUCGAGUCUUCAACUUAAACUUUUCGUGCCUCAAACUCUUCAAGACUACAACUCAACCCGUCACAACACGUAACUACACGUCACGAAAUAUGCCGACACUAAAAUCUAUAAUAGACCUCUGAUUCCUCAGUGCCGCUGA
rnacentral:lncRNA from 1 species